GGCCCUCCUGCUGCCAAUGAUCCUGCUGCUCCUGCAUACUCAGUGUUCCUAAGUGGCCCUGCCUUUACAAAUGGGCCUACCAACAGUAGCCCAUGGGCUAGCCCGACCUCUAUCCCCCGGAGCAGUGGGCUUACUGCUGUCCUGUAAGCUGGUAAGUUGGAGAGGUACCAGGCUAUCAAUGGGCUUGAUGUUACUGGUGUCUCUAAGCUUCCAAUGAAGGGAUCUCCAUUGAUUGGUUCAACCACUUGAAAAGUUGGCUUCUCAGACUGAAUGGCCUUGACAGUGAAGGAAGAAGUUCUCUUGGUGGGUGAGACUCUGAAUGGAGCUCCAGAGAUGCCUCUGGGAAUAAACAGGGACCUUGUUGUUACAGAAGAGGCAAAGCUGCUCUUGAGAGAAGCAGUAGCAGUAGCCAUUUUCAUUGCUUUUUGGUAAAGAA
rnacentral:misc_RNA from 1 species